rnacentral:lncRNA from 1 species
GGGCUUUUCAAAUGUUUUGAAUAUUCCCAGUGCCAUGUGGUUUUGGUUUUGUGCCAAUUCGUGCAUCACUUACAGUCUAUUUGUAGUCAGAAAUGACUGCUGAUAUACAAAGAAGACACAGAAGAACACAGUGCUAAGGAGAAGAGGUACCAGUACACUGACCUUACAGCCUUCAGUUUUCUCAGGAAAUUGAAUUAGUAUCUUCCAAGUGUUGUCUAGAAUAUGUCUAAGUUCCUAUGUCUCAGUAGUCCCUGAGCCACUUGUAUGCCUGUUAACUUAUUUUUUAAAGAUACCCAGUUGAAUUGCAAAGUGUGAGGCAGAAGAAACCACCACUGCUUUGUUCUGCAGUUAUACAAGUUGGCAAGUGGGUUCUUCACAAGACCCCGGUAUAAAUUAGAAGACCUACGCAGUUAACAGGGAAUCUUCCUUUAUAUCACUCUGCCCUCCCCAAAGGACCCACGAGUGCCUGGGGCUGCCUCUGCCAUCCACUUUGCAAGGUGCUCAUGGGCAAUGGAGUUCAUACAGCUUCUGCAAUAUCUCCUGGCCUGAACCUGAUGGGUAUGUAUUGAUAAAUGGCUGUGCAUUUAAAAGAAUCCUUUGUAGAGAAGUUUGGUGGGGGGAGAGGGUGAAGUCGAGGUGUUAUAUUCUUAAAUAUAUAAAAAAAUCUAAUUCUGAAGUCCAUGUUUUUAAACUCUCUUAAGUUUUGUGUUUUAUUUCUUUCUCCUGUUAUUUUAUAGCAUGAGGAUCUGAUUCUCCAGUACUCUGAGACACACCAGACGCACUGGGAUGUGUCUACUAUUGAUUUUUUGUGGCAGCAUCAGCUGGGAGCGUCAGCCUAUGGAGACUUUUACUUGAUUCAGUAAAUCAACACAUUUCCCAAAAUGAAGGUGGUAGGUGGCUGCUUACUUUGUUUUGUUCCAUUUCAUCUCAUUUCACUUGAGCUCACGGUGCCUUACAUAGCCAUGGGUUUCAUGGAAUAGGAUAGAAGCAUUAAAGUUAGAAAAGACCAAUAAAAUCACCAAGUCCAAAAAUCA